GAUAUUGCACAAUGGGGGAAACCCUGAUGCAGCGACGCCGCGUGUAGGAAGACGGUCCUCUGGAUUGUAAACUACUGUCUUGUGGGACGAUAAUGACGGUACCACAGGAGGAAGCCACGGCUAACUACGUUCCAGCAGCCGCGGUAAUACGUAGGUGGCAAGCGUUGUCCGGAAUUACUGGGUGUAAAGGGAGCGUAGGCGGGAAGACAAGUCAAGUGUCAAAUCUAUCGGCUCAACCGGUAGUCGCGCUUGAAACUGUUUUUCUUGAGUGGAGUAGAGGCAGGCGGAAUUCCUAGUGUAGCGGUGAAAUGCGUAGAUAUUAGGAGGAACACCAGUGGCGAAGGCGGCCUGCUGGGCUUUUACUGACGCUGAGGCUCGAAAGUGUGGGGAGCAAACAGG
rnacentral:rRNA from 1 species